GCGGACCUUUCGGGGUCAGCGGCGGACGGGUGAGUAACGCGUGGGAACKUGCCUUCCGGUUCGGAAUAACCCUGGGAAACUAGGGCUAAUACCGGAUACGCCCUUAUGGGGAAAGGUUUACUGCCGGAAGAUCGGCCCGCGUCUGAUUAGCUAGUUGGUGGGGUAACGGCCUACCAAGGCGACGAUCAGUAGCUGGUCUGAGAGGAUGAUCAGCCACACUGGGACUGAGACACGGCCCAGACUCCUACGGGAGGCAGCAGUGGGGAAUAUUGGACAAUGGGCGCAAGCCUGAUCCAGCCAUGCCGCGUGAGUGAUGAAGGCCUUAGGGUUGUAAAGCUCUUUUAUCCGGGACGAUAAUGACGGUACCGGAGGAAUAAGCCCCGGCUAACUUCGUGCCAGCAGCCGCGGUAAUACGAAGGGGGCUAGCGUUGCUCGGAAUCACUGGGCGUAAAGGGCGCGUAGGCGGCGUUUUAAGUCGGGGGUGAAAGCCUGUGGCUCAACCACAGAAUGGCCUUCGAUACUGGGACGCUUGAGUAUGGUAGAGGUUGGUGGAACUGCGAGUGUASAGGUGAAAUUCRUAGAUAUUCGCAAGAACACCGGUGGCGAAGGCGG
rnacentral:rRNA from 1 species